CUGCAGGAUGGAUCUUCUACUGGUAUAAAGCUGUUCCUGAUCUAUCAGAGAAAUCCUCCAGUUAUGAGCUGCUACCUGAUGGCAGUGGGACUGCACAGGACUCCUACAUCAUUCAUGGACAGACACACACAGCAGGAUAUGUGUGCAGAGUUGGAAGAGGAGACCCAGAGUAUCACACUUAUUACAGUAAACAUAAGUUUUUCUGGUCUGCAGAUGUUCAUUCAGCAGCGUCUCUCACAGUGAGUCCUGACAGAGUGCAACACUUCACCUUUGACUCUGUCUCAGUGACCUGUAAGGGAGACUUCACUGAGUGGAGAGUGAUGAAGUUCUCUGAGGACGGCCAACUGUACUCUGUCUGUACGAAAAUGACUGGAUCCACAUGUUUAAUCUACACAUCAAAGUCAGAUGCUGCAGUGUACUGGUGUGAGUCUGGAUCAGGAGAGUUCAGCAGUGCAGUCAACAUCACUGUACAGAAUGAUGGUAAUGGUCCUAUCCUGGUGAGUCCUGUUCAUCCUGUGACUGAGGGAGCUUCUGUUAGUCUGAGCUGCAGUUUGAGAACACAAAAAAUACUUUCCAAUGUGUUUUUCUAUCACAAUGACAAACUUAUUCAAAAUGAUACCCGAGGGGAGCUGAAGAUCUCUGCA